rnacentral:rRNA from 1 species
UACGAAGGGGGCUAGCGUUGUUCGGAUUUACUGGGCGUAAAGCGCACGUAGGCGGAUUUUUAAGUCAGGGGUGAAAUCCCGGGGCUCAACCCCGGAACUGCCUUUGAUACUGGAAGUCUUGAGUAUGGUAGAGGUGAGUGGAAUUCCGAGUGUAGAGGUGAAAUUCGUAGAUAUUCGGAGGAACACCAGUGGCGAAGGCGGCUCACUGGACCAUUACUGACGCUGAGGUGCGAAAGCGUGGGGAGCAAACGGG